GGCAACUUAUCAAUAGCAGCGCUUUUCCCACUUCAUUGUUGAUCCAACUCCGUCUAACAUGGGUGACUAAAAAUCCUUUACUGGGUAUCAAGACACUCCAGCUUUAUCUCAAUAGAAGUAGGAUGCAUAAUUGUAUUCCUGUGAAUAUGUGUAAAGUGUUACUAGAGACUCAGAGUGAUUGAGUAAGAGAAAACAAUAUAAUACAAUUCAACAAUAUAAAAGCGAUAAAAAAAAGGCAAAAAGUAGCACAGUAGGCCAUCAUACACAAUUUAUCCAAAAAAUACAAUAAUAAAAUAAAGUAAGAGUCAAUAUAAUAAAGGUCAAAUUCAGGUUAUUCCCCAGCAGAGUCACUAGAGAUGUCACACCCCUUUUCUGUCGACGGAAGGAUUUUUUCAAUUUAAGUGACAAUAUUGAAUAUGAUUUUAUUUUUUUUAGGGUCGCCACUUGAAAUUGAGUUAUGGUGUUCCAAGUCACCUUUUUGUUUAAUCCCUAAUCAAAAGGAAAUGACUAUUUAUAUGGUUUGCGAACUAGAAAUUCAGGUAAGAAAUUUUGUUGGUCGAGGGGAAGGUAUUAGGCAUCCCUCGAGUCCCGUGGUUCUAGCGCGGUUGCUUUUAUUGACUUAUACUUACUUUAAAAUAUUUUUGGAUAUAUUAUUUUCAGGCCAUGACUUGUUCGCAUUUUUAUUGUUGAACUUUUAUUUGGUCUCAAAUCGGAUGCAUAACUGCAUUCUCAACUUUUGACAUAUAAAUAGGUUAAGAGCAUAACUGUUUUCUUCUCUCGAGUUCAUCACCUAAUUUUAUCUAUAAGUGAUCUUAUUUUAAAUUAAUGAAAAUUAUUAUAUUUUGGACAAUGUGUGUCACCGCAUCCUUGAGUUUUUUUCAAUGUUUCAAAAAAAAUGCGCAACCGCAUUCUUAAUCGAAAACAAAUAUUUUUUACAAAUAUUUUUAAUGUGCAUAAAACUCAUCUAGUAUUAAAAGGUACUUACUCUUAUUUUUUCUGAAUUCUAGACAACUAAUCUUCUCAUUCCAUUAUUAUAUUAAGGCCUAAUCCAUCGAUGACCCCCUAAAGUUGGCACCAAUUUUCCCUUAGACACCUUAACAAGACUGUUCAUUUUAGACACCUGACGUAAGUUUUUGUUGUGUCAUUUUGACACUUUUUGCAGACACGUCAUAGAGAGUGUGAUCCACUCGUUUAUUGCGCGUGAAAGUUUUUUAAAUCAAUUUUUAAUUAUUUUUUCUUCUUCUUCCCCAUUUUUAGCCUCCAUUUUUCAAGCUCAACUCCAUCCAUGGCGAAUGUUUUAAAUUUUUAAAAAAAGACCUAUUUCAAGAUUUAAAUAUUGCAAUAAUCAUGAAAUUCUUUUUUGGAGGAAUUUACUAUUGUAAUAUGGAAGUGGAUUUGAUUUUUCCUCUUCCUUCACUGACCUUCAAACUGUGCUUCCACUGUAAGUGCUUUUUUUUUUUCCAGUUAAUUUUAAUUAUUUCUAUUCAAUUUUACUGUUUUGUUAUUGAUUAAGAAGAAUGUGAAUUCAUGACUUAGCUUUAUUCUUCUAAGGGUUGGUGUAUGAUUGAGAAGUGGUGAUUGUGGGAGGGGUGGGGGGGGGGGGGCAGCGUUUCUGCAAAAUUGUUAUUUUGGAGAAGACAAUGAGAAGGUUGCAAAAUAUUUUUUGUUAAUUGGUUAAAUGUUUUUUUUUAAAUUAUGUGGGCAAAAAUGCCACAUGUCAUCGAUUCAUUGGCUACAUUUUAAUUUUCUCAAAAUUCAUUAUUUAAGAAUGAUUUUAGGCACAAAUGGUGAAUGUCGUCAUUUAAUUGGACACUUUACACGUCAUUUGCGAGUGCAUUACACACACAUUACAUAUUUUUGUUGAUUGUAAAGAAAGUGUUAAAAUAACACAACAGAACCUUACAUGAAGUGUUUAAAAUGAACAAAGUCUAGUUAGAGUGUCUAAGUGAAAGUUAGUGCCAACUUUAGGGGGCCACCGAUGGGUUAGGUCUUAUAUUAAUUGAUGAUACUUUUAAUUAAAUUAAUCCUCAUGUCAAAUGAUUAAACUAAUCCAAAAUGGAGUAAAUUCAAAUUUAACAACAUGACACAUUUGUUUGUUUAUUGGGUAAUGACUCAUUUAUUUCAAAAAUACAUAAAUUAAAAUAGGCAAUUGGCAUCAACAUUAAGCUACAACAAUGCUAUAAAAACGAUGGCAUAGGAACGACAAAAUUAAACAACAAAAAAAAAAUCUACCAUAAUAAUAGGAUUUUAUUCAUCUUUUAGGUAUUUUGCACUAAAAAUAACAUUAAAUAUAACUCAAGAUGUCAAUAUUCAUUUUCAGUCAAAUUAUGAAUGUAACAAAAUAUAAGAAAGCUUAUCAUAAAGUUACAUCAAAUUUCAUAAAUAAAGCAAAGAGAUAAGGUAAUGUUUAACCUUAAGUAAAGAGAAUAUGUACCGCAAAAUCUUGACUGAAGCUCGAUUAGAAAACCCACUAAUAUUUUGUUUGGUGUGUUGUGUUGGAUUUUGGUAGUGUGGGAUUUUUUUGGGUCUUUUGUCUCUGUACGUCUGAGUGUGUUUUGUUGAUCUUUUGUUUUUCUUUUCAAGUGGUGAGGGUGUUGGGUUUUUCGUAUGUAUUUUUAUUUUUAUUUUGCAGAUUUUUCUUCUUCUUCUUUUUCGUGUGGGUGUGUUGUGUAUUUUUGUAGUCCUGUGUUUCUUGGUUUUUGUGUUGUUGUGCGUCUAUCUAUUAGGAAUAUGUAUAUUGUUGUGUGUAUAGCGUGUGCGUCUGUGUAUUGAAUGUAUUCAAGUGGUGAGGGUGUUUAGGAUAGUGGGGUUGUGGUUAAGUGGGGGUGAGGGUAAUGGAGGAAAAAGGGGUAAUGUGAGGUGAUGUUGUGAAAUAUGGAAGGGUAAAUGGGAUGAGGAUAAUGGGUAUUUUUUAUAAAUUAAAUAUAUACAAAAUUAUAAUAAUAAAAUAUUAAAUAUUUUGAACUAAUAAAAAAUACUAAAUGGUUAAUUAAAAAAUAUAAUUAAGAAACACUAGUUUAUUUAUUAAAUCUAAAUUAAAAGAAAAUAUAUAUAUAUUUUUGUAACUUUUCAUUUCUUUUUUAAAUAAUUAAAAAUAAACGUACCUUAAAAGGUGAUUCUAUUUUUGUUGUUUUCAAAUCUUU
rnacentral:lncRNA from 1 species